rnacentral:rRNA from 1 species
CACGUAGGCGGACUGGAAAGUUGGAGGUGAAAUCCCAGGGCUCAACCUUGGAACUGCCUUCAAAACUAUCAGUCUGGAGUUCGAGAGAGGUGAGUGGAAUUCCGAGUGUAGAGGUGAAAUUCGUAGAUAUUCGGAGGAACACCAGUGGCGAAGGCGGCUCACUGGCUCGAUACUGACGCUGAGGUGCGAAAGCGUGGGGAGCAAACA